rnacentral:rRNA from 1 species
UCGGACGGGUGAGUAACGCGUGAGAAUCUACCCUUAGGAUGGGGACAACAGUUGGAAACGACUGCUAAUACCCGAUGUGCCGAGAGGUAAAACUUAUAUGGCCUGAGGGAGAGCUCGCGUCUGAUUAGCUAGUUGGUAGUGUAAGGGACUACCAAGGCGACGAUCAGUAGCUGGUCUGAGAGGAUGAUCAGCCACACUGGGACUGAGACACGGCCCAGACUCCUACGGGAGGCAACAGUGGGGAAUUUUCCGCAAUGGGCGAAAGCCUGACGGAGCAAGACCGCGUGAGGGAGGAAGGCCUACUGGUUGUAAACCUCUUUUGAUAGGGAAGAACACAAUGACGGUACCUAUCGAAUCAGCCUCGGCUAACUCCGUGCCAGCAGCCGCGGUAAUACGGAGGGGGCAAGCGUUAUCCGGAAUUAUUGGGCGUAAAGCGUCCGUAGGUGGUUAUCCAAGUCAGUUGUUAAAGCGUAGAGCUUAACUCUAUAAGGGCAAUUGAAACUGGGUGGCUAGAGUGCGAUAGGGGCAAGGGGAAUUCCCAGUGUAGCGGUGAAAUGCGUAGAUAUUGGGAAGAACAUCGGUGGCGAAGGCGCCUUGCUGGGUCUGCACUGACACUGAGGGACGAAAGCUAGGGGAGCGAAAGGGAUUAGAUACCCCUGUAGUC